GUCCCACAGGAGGAACAACAAUAUGAACUAACCAGUACCCCCAGAGCUCCCAGAUAUGUUGAACUGACCUGCAUGAACUCCUGAAAUCCUGGACCUUCAGCCAGAACCAGUGAAGACACAGACAUCAGAGACUAAUCAACCCUAUUUUCCCUACCCUUCCCCCCUUCAUAAUAUCUCAACACUCAGAUUCAGCUUGAAGAAGUUAUGAAGAGUCAUCGACCCACUUCCCUGGUCUUUGAGGCUGGAGAGGUUUAUUAAUAGAUUGUCUUUCUAGGGAAUGUAUAAACUGUAAUAUUGGAUCAUGGAGGAACAGCUCGAAUAGAGUAUAUAUCCAUAUCA